CCUGCCCUUUCCAAAGAAGCAAAAAAAAAAAAAGAAAGAAAGAAAGAAAGAAAGAAAGAAAGAAAAGAAAAAGAAAGAAAGAAAGAAAAGAAAAGAAAAGAAAAAAGAAAGAAAGAAAAAAACAUAGUGAAGUAACUGCAGUCACAUUAAGUACAGUCCAGGCUCAAAUCUCCGCCCCCCUUCUCUUCCCUCGGACUAGGAGAGACCCUGCUGCAGGCCUGCACCAAAAGCCCAGCCAGAAGGAGCAUGCCCAGGGAACAAGCAGAAGAAGAAACAGAAGAACUUUGACAGCUUCGUGGAAGAGCAGUUGAAUCAAUUUUGCUGCACAAUGAGUGUACAGGUUAGUUCCAGAGCUGGAGAUGGGGAUGCAUUAUAUUCAGUGAAAAGUCUUGAAAACGAUACUUAAAUGGCAGAAGAUUGCGGUGCGGCGUGAGGGUAUGGGUAAGCCUUGCACUUUAAAACAUGUUUUAAAGCAGACACAUGAAGUGUUUAUAUCUGUAUAUAGUCAUACUUUCAUUUUAAAAUAAACCUUUGAAAACAAUUGUAAAAUUACCCUAGGAAUGAGGUCAAGGACAUGUGUUUCAGUGAUGUCAAGGAGUUGCCACACAUCUUUUUUCAAGCAGACUUUGGAUGAAUAUAGACCUUGUAGACCUUAUCCCAUCUGAUAAUGUCUCCCAAGGCUUCCAUGUAGUAAGCUCAGUGUCUGUAUUCGCCC